CAUAAUUGUUUUACCUGUGUUGACUCUGGAUUGAUUCUAAAAGUUGAAAAGUAAUGAAUAAGGUUACAUUACUAUGAACAUGUUGCUCACUACAGAGCAAAGUAGUGUGAUGGGAUUAAUAUUCUCUCCUUUUUACUCCCAAGGCAUCCCUUCCAGAGUCUUCCACUGUCUGCUGUAAUGUAGAUUCUCUGCAAGUGAUACUUAUCUUCAGGUAACUUCCCUCGGAAAUGGCUCAUGGAGUUAUAUCUCAAGGAAAAGACAUUGUCGUUUGGAUGUAUGGAAGAGAUGGAGAAAGAUGAAGAAAAUGGAGACCCUGAGAGGUUCAGGAAGAAGUACUUGCUGGGGAGAAAGAAAGCUUCUGGAAGAAGAGAACAUUAUACAUUCAUGAGAAAGAGCUUCUGACAGAAACCUGUGAUGACUGGGGCUGUGUGGGCACACAGACGGCCCUUCUCCGAGGCGGUUCCCCCCAACCCCCGCACCUGCGAGGACUUCAGCUCAUCCAUGCACAGUGGGCUGAGGCUUUUUGGAAAACAGAAGCCAGUUAAAUCUCGUGAGAGCUACUUCACCUAUCUUGCUACAGAACUGUGUUCAGGUUCACAGCAACAUUGAAGGAAAGGGAUGACCUGAAUAGUAUGAACCUUCGAACAUGUCCUGCCUGAGUGCUCAAGAGAGAACCUCUUGCCAGUGGCUACACUACAGGGAGGGGUGGACUCCUGAUGCUUGACUGGACACUAUUACCUCAGCCAUAACGGUGUUGAGCUAAGAAAACAGAUUCUCCUUAUUUUUCCUAUUCUUUUGCUGCAUAUAUUCUCUUCAGGCAUGGGAUGGCCACAUAAUGUUAUUAGGAUGGUCAUUCUAAGACUCCUGUGUAAGGUUACCUCCUAAGUAUCCUGGCAUGAUCUCUCACUGAGCAUGAAAUCCAAGAUAUGGCUAACUGUGUGCUUCCCAAAGGGAAAGCACAGCUGGAGCUAUUACCCAGGUGGGGCGCUCAACCAAUAGGUGACUACUCCCUUGGCGCUAGAUCAUGGCUAAAGCCCAUGAGAAAGUUGCCUGGAUUAGACAAGAGUUCCAUACUUCUUUUUUUUAAUAGAUGUCUCUCAUUUGUCCUAUGGUUUGUUUGGCAUUAUUGGUCUCGCUCUCUGAUUGAAAGUACUUCUAGCUUAGAUAUAUGAUGCUUCAUAUGAUAUAAAAUAGCUGCCCUUUCUUGGCAAAGGCUAGGGCCUCUACCCCAUCCAUUAAUACUAGACCCAAGGUUACAAAGGGUAUGAUUCUUGGUCACCAAACAUAUAGAAUCCCCAAAAUGGAAAGAGGCAGCCCUAAUCUCUAUGGUGUUUCAGUCCAUUUACCAGCAUCUAUUGUAGCAUAGGAUGCAGUGGGGGAGCAAAGGGAGGUCGACACCCCUUCUCAGGUAGUACAAAGGUAUCAGAGUUGUUGAGAAAGAAGGACAUCUCCUGCCACUUGGAAUCCCGGAAACUAGCCGUAUUCUUGAUGGGAUACCCAUUCAGGGCUGAGGGGGAUUUUGGUAAUGGGCUCCUAGUUAGUUAAUGUACUCUCCUAGUUUUGUAGGAAUUGACUAAGGGAUCAACAUCCUCAGUCCCAGAGGAUUCCCCUUUGGCCUGUCUCGUAACUCACUGGAGUCAAUUUGGACAACAGGAUUGAAGGAAGAAAGUGCCUCAUCUUCUUUUGUAAUAAUGCCUGGCCUCCAUGCCUCUCGUGUUAUUGGAUCCUUCUCCUCCUACCCUUUGCCAGCAAAGGAGCAAACAGCAUCUCUCCCUGGACUGAAACUGCACACUUCAUAUCCCUACGGCUCCCCCAGGUAAAAAUUGGCAGUGGGGAACAACUUGAUGAACUUUAAAGUGGACCCAGGUGCAACAUAUUUGGUAUUUAGACUAAUUUAAUUUGUUAGUUUAAUUAAGAUAGAGAUGUCUGGGGGUGCCUGGGUGGCUCAGUGGGUUAAGCAUCUAACUUUUGUUCUCAGUUCAGGUCUUAAUCUCAGGGUUGUGAGUUUAAGCCCUGCACUGGGUUCCAUGCUGGG